UACGAAGGGGGCGAGCGUUGUUCGGAAUUACUGGGCGUAAAGGGCGCGUAGGCGGCCUUCUAAGUCGAACGUGAAAUCCCCGGGCUCAACCCGGGAACUGCGUCCGAUACUGGAAGGCUUGAAUCCGGGAGAGGGAUGCGGAAUUCCAGGUGUAGCGGUGAAAUGCGUAGAUAUCUGGAGGAACACCGGUGGCGAAGGCGGCAUCCUGGACCGGCAUUGACGCUGAGGCGCGAAAGCCAGGGGAGCAAACGGG
rnacentral:rRNA from 1 species